rnacentral:tRNA from 1 species
AUCCGGCUGGCCCGCACGCUUGCCGCGCUGCAGCCGCGGGAGCCGGAGGUGCACGGCCUGCUGGCGUUGUUCGAGCUGACGGCCGCGCG